rnacentral:lncRNA from 1 species
ACAGUGGUUUCUGGGUUCUUGGAUAUUAGGAUUGACGAGGGUGAUUGGAGAAGAUGAGUGUGAUUUGAGAAGAGGAACGAUUAAUGGGAAACGAUUGCUCUAACUUCGAUUUCUCUGAGUUCUGAUUGCUCUGAGUUUGAUUAUAGAGGAACGAUUUCUAUCGAAGUUCGAUCCUUUAAGUUUGAAGCUAGAAGACGAUUGAUUUCGAAUCUAUGGUUUGAGUUCAAUGUUUCCUAGGAAUGGUUUGAAAGAAGCUAGAAGAAGUUGAUUUUGUUUCUAGGAUUUGAGUUCUAUGUUUGCUGGAAGUGGUUUGAAGAUCGUGGGAUUGAGAUUGGGAGUGCGAAAAUUUGAUAGAUC